GUGGGGAAUAUUGGACAAUGGGGGGAACCCUGAUCCAGCCAUGCCGCGUGUGUGAAGAAGGCCUUUUGGUUGUAAAGCACUUUAAGCGAGGAGGAGGCUACCGAGAUUAAUACUCUUGGAUAGUGGACGUUACUCGCAGAAUAAGCACCGGCUAACUCUGUGCCAGCAGCCGCGGUAAUACAGAGGGUGCAAGCGUUAAUCGGAUUUACUGGGCGUAAAGCGCGCGUAGGUGGCCAAUUAAGUCAAAUGUGAAAUCCCCGAGCUUAACUUGGGAAUUGCAUUCGAUACUGGGAAGCUAGAGUAUGGGAGAGGAUGGUAGAAUUCCAGGUGUAGCGGUGAAAUGCGUAGAGAUCUGGAGGAAUACCGAUGGCGAAGGCAGCCAUCUGGCCUAAUACUGACGCUGAGGUACGAAAGCAUGGGGAGCAAACAGGAUUAGAAACCCUUGUAGUCC
rnacentral:rRNA from 1 species